GAUGAAGAACGCAGCGAAAUGCGAUAAGUAAUGUGAAUUGCAGAAUUCAGUGAAUCAUCGAAUCUUUGAACGCACAUUGCGCCCGGUGGUAUUCCGGCGGGCAUGCCUGUUCGAGCGUCAUUUCAACCCUCAAGCUCUCCGGAGUUUGGUGUUGGGGCGCCUGGGGCUUUUCGACCUCAGGGCCCUCAAGUCCAUCGGCGGGACCGCCAGGACACUGAGCGCAGUAGUAUUAUUUCGCUCGGUAGGAUCUUCCACGGCGGGUCGAUCUGGCCGCUAAACCCCCCAAUUCUCACCAAAGGUUGACCUCGGAUCAGGUAGGAAUACCCGCUGAACUUAAGCAUAUCAAUAAGCGGAGGA
rnacentral:misc_RNA from 1 species